rnacentral:rRNA from 1 species
AGCUCGUGUCGUGAGAUGUUGGGUUAAGUCCCGCAACGAGCGCAACCCUUGUCUUUAAUUGCCAUCAUUGAGUUUGGGCACUUUAAAGAGACUGCCGGUGUUAAACCGGAGGAAGGUGGGAUGACGUCAAGUCCUCAUGGCCUUUAUGCCCAGGGCUACACACGUGCUACAAUGGCGGUGACAGUGGGCAGCCACCUCGCGAGAGGGAGCUAAUCCCAAAAAGCCGUCUCAGUUCGGAUUGUUCUCUGCAACUCGAGAGCAUGAAGGCGGAAUCGCUAGUAAUCGCGGAUCAGCAUGCCGCGGUGAAUACGUUCCCAGGCCUU